rnacentral:rRNA from 1 species
AUGGAGUGCGAGAACGGGCAAGUCGCCGGCAACGGCAAUGGCUUGUGCGUGGCGCAGCCUGGGCGGGCCGACCCCCUGAACUGGGGGAAGGCGGCGGAGGAGUUGUCCGGGAGCCAUUUGGACGCGGUGAAGCGGAUGGUCGAGGAGUACCGUAGGCCGGUGGUGACCAUGGAGGGCGCCAGCUUGACCAUCGCCAUGGUCGCCGCUGUGGCCGCCGGUGGUGAGACCAGGGUGGAGCUCGACGAGUCUGCCCGCGGCCGGGUCAAGGAGAGCAGUGACUGGGUCAUGAACAGCAUGGCGAACGGCACCGACAGCUACGGCGUCACUACCGGCUUCGGUGCCACCUCCCACCGGAGGACCAAGGAGGGCGGCGCUCUCCAGAGGGAGCUCAUCAGAUUCCUUAAUGCCGGAGCCUUCGGCACAGGCGGCCACGAUCAUGUUCUGCCUGCCGCAGCAACAAGGGCGGCGAUGCUCGUCCGUGUCAACACUCUGCUCCAGGGAUACUCCGGCAUCCGCUUCGAGAUCCUUGAGACGGUUGCUGCGCUUCUCAACGCCAAUGUGACACCAUGCCUGCCGCUCCGGGGCACGAUCACCGCCUCCGGCGACCUUGUUCCGCUUUCCUAUAUCGCGGGCCUGGUGACUGGACGGGCAAACUCCGUGGCCACUGCCCCAGACGGCAGCAAGGUUAACGCAGCAGAGGCGUUCAAGAUCGCCGGUAUCCAGCAUGGCUUCUUUGAGCUGCAGCCCAAGGAAGGGCUUGCCAUGGUGAACGGCACAGCAGUGGGCUCCGGGCUUGCGUCCAUGGUGCUUUUCGAGGCUAACAUCCUGAGCCUCCUUGCUGAGGUUCUAUCCGCCGUCUUCUGCGAGGUCAUGAACGGCAAGCCAGAGUACACCGACCACUUGACCCACAAGCUGAAGCAUCACCCUGGGCAGAUCGAGGCCGCCGCCAUUAUGGAGCACAUCCUCGAAGGCAGCUCCUACAUGAUGCUCGCAAAGAAGCUCGGCGAGCUCGACCCGCUGAUGAAGCCAAAGCAAGAUAGGUAUGCACUACGCACAUCACCACAAUGGCUUGGUCCUCAAAUCGAGGUCAUCCGUGCUGCCACCAAGUCGAUCGAGCGUGAGAUCAACUCCGUCAAUGACAACCCACUCAUCGACGUCUCUCGUGGCAAGGCCAUCCAUGGGGGCAACUUCCAGGGUACGCCCAUCGGCGUGUCCAUGGACAACACCAGGCUUGCCAUUGCUGCGAUCGGCAAGCUCAUGUUUGCCCAAUUCUCGGAGCUCGUGAACGACUUCUACAACAAUGGUUUGCCUUCCAACCUCUCCGGCGGGCGCAACCCGAGCUUGGACUAUGGCUUCAAGGGUGCUGAGAUUGCCAUGGCCUCGUACUGCUCCGAGCUUCAGUUCUUAGGAAACCCCGUCACCAACCAUGUCCAGAGCGCGGAGCAACACAACCAAGACGUCAACUCUCUCGGCCUCAUCUCCUCCCGGAAGACCGCUGAGGCCAUUGACAUAUUGAAGCUCAUGUCCUCGACAUUCUUGGUCGCCUUGUGCCAGGCCAUCGACCUCCGUGGAGAACGGCACCGCCGCGCAGCAGAACCGUAUCACCGAAUGCCGGUCGUACCCACUCUACAGGUUGGUGCGCAAGGAGCUUGGGACUGA